rnacentral:rRNA from 1 species
GACAGAGGUGCCGAGCGUUAGGCGGAAUCACUGGGCUUAAAGCGUGUGUAGGCGGAUCGUUAAGUACCUUGUGAAAUCCCCCGGCUCAACCGGGGGAACUGCUGGGUAUACUGGCGAUCUUGAGCAAUCUAGGGGCAGAUGGAACAAGUGGUGGAGCGGUGAAAUGCGUAGAUAUCACUUGGAACGCCAAAGGUGAAAACAGUCUGCUGGGGAUUUGCUGACGCUGAGACACGAAAGCCAGGGGAGCGAACGGG